CUACCAUGAACAGAGACGUGGCAACCAGAACGACCACGCCAGGGCAUCCAUAGACGUGGCAACCAGAGCGACCAGGGCACGGCAUUCAGAGACGUGCUUUCUCCUCGGCGUUCCACAUACAAUGUCAGCGGCAUGGCUCGUAUGGUGGUAUGGAUCCCUACAGUUUGCAACUGUGUCUGUUGACACAAGAAAUGAAAUGGUUUGCAACCCUUUCGAGCAGGUCCCAGAUUUGGUGGUUGCAAACUAGAAUCUGAACAUUUAUAUUCAGAAGCUGGCUAUUAGAGGAUGACAAGUUGAACAAUUGUGAAUGAGUGAUGGGACUGUUUUGCCUCACAAGUUGG